rnacentral:rRNA from 1 species
UACGGAGGAUCCAAGCGUUAUCCGGAAUCAUUGGGUUUAAAGGGUCCGUAGGCGGUUUUGUAAGUCAGUGGUGAAAGCCCAUCGCUCAACGGUGGAACGGCCAUUGAUACUGCAAGACUUGAAUUAUUAGGAAGUAACUAGAAUAUGUAGUGUAGCGGUGAAAUGCUUAGAGAUUACAUGGAAUACCAAUUGCGAAGGCAGGUUACUACUAAUAUAUUGACGCUGAUGGAUGAAAGCGUGGGGAGCGAACAGG